rnacentral:rRNA from 1 species
AUUGAACGCUGGCGGUAUGCUUAACACAUGCAAGUCGAACGGUAGCAGGUCUAGCUUGCUAGAUGCUGACGAGUGGCGGACGGGUGAGUAACGCGUAGGAAUCUGCCUUAUUGUGGGGGAUAACCUGGGGAAACUCAGGCUAAUACCGCAUGAGCCCUAAGGGGGAAAGGAUGGGACCGCAAGGCCAUUCGCGAUAAGAUGAGCCUGCGUCGGAUUAGCUUGUUGGUGGGGUAAAGGCCUACCAAGGCGAGGAUCCGUAGCUGGUCUGAGAGGACGACCAGCCACACUGGGACUGAGACACGGCCCAGACUCCUACGGGAGGCAGCAGUGGGGAAUAUUGGACAAUGGGGGGCAACCCUGAUCCAGCAAUACCGCGUGUGUGAAGAAGGCCUGCGGGUUGUAAAGCACUUUCAGUGGGGAGGAAGAGCUUAUUGUUAAUAGCAAUGAGUUGAGACGUUACCCACAGAAGAAGCACCGGCUAACU